AACGAACGCUGGCGGCAGGCUUAACACAUGCAAGUCGAGCGCCCCGCAAGGGGAGCGGCAGACGGGUGAGUAACGCGUGGGAACGUACCCUUCGGUUCGGAAUAACUCAGGGAAACUUGGGCUAAUACCGGAUACGUCCGUGAGGAGAAAGAUUUAUCGCCGAAGGAUCGGCCCGCGUUGGAUUAGCUAGUUGGUGGGGUAAUGGCCUACCAAGGCGACGAUCCAUAGCUGGUCUGAGAGGAUGAUCAGCCACACUGGGACUGAGACACGGCCCAGACUCCUACGGGAGGCAGCAGUGGGGAAUAUUGGACAAAUGGGCGGAAAGCCUGAUCCAGCCAUGCCGCGUGAGUGAUGAAGGCCCUAGGGGUUGUUAAAAGCUCUUUUCAGUGGGGAAGGAUAAUGACGGUACCCACAGAAGAAGCCCCGGCUAACUUCGUGCCAGCAG
rnacentral:rRNA from 1 species